rnacentral:rRNA from 1 species
AUUGAACGCUGGCGGCAUGCCUUACACAUGCAAGUCGAACGGUAACAGGUUAAGCUGACGAGUGGCGAACGGGUGAGUAAUACAUCGGAACGUGCCCAGACGUGGGGGAUAGCUCGGCGAAAGCCGGAUUAAUACCGCAUAAGCUCUGAGGAGGAAAGCGGGGGACCGUAAGGCCUCGCGCGUUUGGAGCGGCCGAUGGCAGAUUAGGUAGUUGGUGGGGUAAAGGCUUACCAAGCCUACGAUCUGUAGCUGGUCUGAGAGGACGACCAGCCACACUGGGACUGAGACGCGGCCCAGACUCCUACGGGAGGCAGCAGUGGGGAAUUUUGGACAAUGGGCGCAAGCCUGAUCCAGCAAUGCCGCGUGCAGGAUGAAGGCCUUCGGGUUGUAAACUGCCUUUGUACGGAACGAAAAGGCGCCUACUAAUACUGGGUGUUGAUGACGGUACCGUAAGAAUAAGCACCGGCUAACUACGUGCCAGCCGCCGCCGUAAGAC